UAGCAUAUCAAUAAGCGGAGGAAAAGAAACCAACAGGGAUUGCCCUAGUAACGGCGAGUGAAGCGGCAACAGCUCAAAUUUGAAAUCUGGCCCCCGGGUCCGAGUUGUAAUUUGUAGAGGAUGCUUUUGGUGCGGUACCUUCCGAGUGCCCUGGAACGGGACGCCAUAGAGGGUGAGAGCCCCGUCUGGUUGGACGCCAAUCCUUUGUAAAGCUCCUUCAACGAGUCGAGUAGUUUGGGAAUGCUGCUCUAAAUGGGAGGUAUAUGUCUUCUAAAGCUAAAUAUUGGCCAGAGACCGAUAGCGCACAAGUAGAGUGAUCGAAAGAUGAAAAGCACUUUGAAAAGAGAGUUAAAAAGUACGUGAAAUUGUUGAAAGGGAAGCGCUCAUGACCAGACUUGGGCUUGGUUGAUCAUCCAGGGUUCUCCCUGGUGCACUCUUCCGGCCCAGGCCAGCAUCAGUUCGCUGUGGGGGAUAAAGGCUUCGGGAAUGUGGCUCCCUCGGGAGUGUUAUAGCCCGUCGUGUAAUACCCUGUGGCGGACUGAGGUUCGCGCAUUCGCAAGGAUGCUGGCGUAAUGGUCAUCAGCGACCCGUCUUGAAACACGGACCAAGGAGUCGUCUUCGUAUGCGAGUGUUCGGGUGUCAAACCCCUACGCGUAAUGAAAGUGAACGCAGGUGAGAGCUUCGGCGCAUCAUCGACCGAUCCUGAUGUUCUCGGAUGGAUUUGAGUAAGAGCAUACGGGGCCGGACCCGAAAGAAGGUGAACUAUGCCUGUAUAGGGUGAAGCCAGAGGAAACUCUGGUGGAGGCUCGCAGCGGUUCUGACGUGCAAAUCGAUCGUCAAAUAUGGGCAUGGGGGCGAAAGACUAAU
rnacentral:rRNA from 1 species